rnacentral:rRNA from 1 species
UCAAGCAAUAAGGGCACAGGGCGGAUGCCUUGGCACUAAGAGCCGAAGAAAGACGUGAUAAGCUGCGAUAAGCUUCGGGGAGGAGCAAAUAUCCUUUGAUCCGGAGAUCUCUGAAUGGGGAAACCCGGCAGAGCACACCUCUGUCAUCCAUACGCCAAUCCAUAACGUAUGGAAGGGAACCCGGGGAACUGAAACAUCUAAGUACCCGGAGGAAAAGAAAGAAAACUCGAUUCUGCAAGUAGCGGCGAGCGAACGCGGAAGAGCCUAAACCGGAAUGCGUGCAUUCCGGGGUUACGGACUGCCUUAAUGAUUCUCUGAAGCUAACAGAACGGUUUUGGGAAAGCCGGCCGAAGAGGGUGAAAGCCCCGUAUGUGAAAGCAGAUGAGACUGAGCAGGAUCCAGAGUACCACGAGACACGAGAAACCUUGUGGGAAGUCAGGGGGACCACCCCCUAAGGCUAAAUACUACUUAGUGACCGAUAGCGCAUAGUACUGUGAAGGAAAGGUGAAAAGGACCCCGGGAGGGGAGUGAAAGAGAACCUGAAACCCUGUGUCUACAAGCUGUGGGAGCACCUUAUGCGUGCAACCGCGUACUUUUUGUAGAACGGUCCGGCGAGUUACGCUUACUGGCAAGGUUAAGUCCUUAAGGGACGGAGCCGUAGGGAAACCAAGUCUUAACAGGGCCUUAAGUCAGUAGGAGUAGACCCGAAACCGGGUGAUCUACCCAUGUCCAGGAUGAAGCUGCCGUAAGAGGCAGUGGAGGUCCGGACCCACAUCCGUUGAAAAGGGUGGGGAUGAGGUGUGGGUAGGGGAGAAAUUCCAAUCGAACCCGGAGAUAGCUGGUUCUCCUCGAAAUAGCUUUAGGGCUAGCCUCGGUCAUGAGUCUUGUGGAGGUAGAGCACUGAAUUUCCUAGGGGGCGUCAAAGCCUACCGAAGAAUAUCAAACUCCGAAUGCCAUGUAGACAGGACCGGGAGUCAGACUGCACGAGAUAAGUUGGGCAGUCAAAAGGGAAAGAGCCCAGACCUUCAGUUAAGGUCCCAAAGUGUACGUUAAGUGGAAAAGGAUGUGGGGUCUCGAAGACAACCAGGAUGUUGGCUCAGAAGCAGCCAUUCAUUCAAAGAGUGCGUAAUAGCUCACUGGUCGAGAGGCCCUGCGCCGAAAAUGUCCGGGGCUGAAACGUACCACCGAAACUAAGGGAUCCGCAAGGAUCGGUAGAGGAGCAUUGCAUGCGGAACGAAGCAGUACCGUAAGGAGCUGUGGACUGCAUGGAAGAGAGAAUGCCGGAAUGAGUAGCGAGAUAAAGGUGGGAAUCCUUUAGGCCGAAUAUCCAAGGUUUCCAGGGUAAAGCUGAUCUGCCCUGGGUAAGUCGGGGCCUAAGGCGAGGACGAGAGUCGUAGCCGAUGGACAACAGGUGGAGAUUCCUGUACUGCGGUAUGACAGAACUGUGGGGACACGUAAGGAAAGCGGAAGCCGGGAAUGGAAAGCCCGGUGCAAGCGGGGUACCAGUCACUCAGGCAAAUCCGGGUGGCAAUGGGAAGCCGUGAUGCGGAGCGAAAUACAAGUAGUGAAGUCCGUGAGCCAUGCGUCAAGAAAAGCCGCUAUUGUUUAUACCGUACCCGUACCGUAAACCGACACAGGUGGAUGAGGAGAGAAUCCUAAGGCCGGCGGAAGAAGCAUUGUCAAGGAACUCGGCAAAAUGACCCCGUAACUUCGGGAGAAGGGGUGCCACUGAGAAGUGGCCGCAGAGAAUAGGCUCAAGCAACUGUUUAGCAAAAACACAGGUCUAUGCGAAACCGAAAGGUGAGGUAUAUGGGCUGACGCCUGCCCGGUGCUGGAAGGUUAAGAGGAGAGGUUAGCGCAAGCGAAGCUUUGAAUUUAAGCCCCAGUAAACGGCGGCCGUAACUAUAACGGUCCUAAGGUAGCGAAAUUCCUUGUCGGGUAAGUUCCGACCCGCACGAAAGGCGUAAUGAUUUGAGCGCUGUCUCGACAAUGCAUCCGGUGAAAUUGAAGUACCAGUGAAGAUGCUGGUUACCUGCGCCAGGACGGAAAGACCCCAUGGAGCUUUACUCCAGUCUGGUACUGGG